UGGCCGGUAGCUCAGUGGCAGAGCACCUCACUGUUAAUGAGACGCGCGCAGGUUCGAAUCCUGCUCGGCCAG
rnacentral:tRNA from 1 species